AUGGAAUUCGCACACAGCCCCCAGCUCCCGGAGGAGUCCAGACCCCUCUCCCUGCAGGGCCACCCCUUUCCCCUCCCUGUGCCUCAGUUUCCCUCUGUCACACAAUUCCUCCCCCCGGGGCUCUCCGGCCAACCCAGGACAGCGCUGUCCCGCUGCAGACAGGCACAGGCAUCGCCCCCAUGGCCCCAUCCCCAUAGAAGCCGUUGCCCCACAGACGGGGACCCGCUCACCACCGGCUCCAAUGCACACAGGGACGGGUCCCACGAGGCAGAGCUGCUCCGGGAGCUCGGGGCUGAAAGGCCGCAGGGAUGGGGACAGGGAUGGGGACGAGGACAGGGACAUGCAGCACGAUUCCCUCCGCUCCCUUCCCGUGCUGCCACAUCCCCGGCGGUGGCUGCGCCGCUCGCAUCCAUCUCUCGCAGCCUUCACCUCCCAGAAAUAUUGCAGCACGGAGCCGGCUCCAUCUGGCAGCUCAGCCCCCCCGCCGCGCCUCGCGGGGAGACGCCGAAUCAGCCCCGAGCCGGCCCUGCUGUGCUCAGCCCCACAGCGAGCGGCCGGGACCCCCCCGUGUCCCAGCGCGGUGCCAUCGCAGCGGACCAUCCUCCCCCUAAUGCCCACAGGUCCCCUCCUGUCACCGAGUCACGUCACCCACCUCCUCUCUGGGCACUGUCCCCGUCCGCUGCCCUCCUGCUGCAGGAUGGAGGGGAAGGCUGGAACUGCAAGAAGAAGGGGCUCUGGUGGGCAGCACAGCGGCCGGCUCUGGUGCCUGGAGAGGUUAAACAACCCCACCUGCAAACCCUACAGCGUGUAGGGCCGGAGCCUGUGCACACAGCUCCCAAAUCUGGAUGGGGCCGCUGUGCUCUGCGCCUCCUCCAGCGGCAGGGACAGCGCUGGGGCAGCACGGAGGUCCCUCACGGGCCGGCUGAAGCUCUCCACCUCCACCACAGCCCUGGUGCAAUUAAGCAGACAGUUUGGGUUUUCAUCUCCCCGCUCCCCUUUCAUCUGCUCUCCCCGUUUCAUGUCUCCACUUUCUUCUCCCUCCAAGCGGCUGUGCAUGCUGAUGAGGUGCCGGCCCGCUCCCAGCCCUCGCCACUCUCCUGCUGCUAA
rnacentral:lncRNA from 1 species